rnacentral:rRNA from 1 species
UAGGGAAUCUUCCACAAUGGACGCAAGUCUGAUGGAGCAACGCCGCGUGAGUGAAGAAGGUUUUCGGAUCGUAAAGCUCUGUUGUUGGUGAAGAAGGAUAGAGGCAGUAACUGGCCUUUAUUUGACGGUAAUCAACCAGAAAGUCACGGCUAACUACGUGCUAG